rnacentral:rRNA from 1 species
UACGAAGGGGGCUAGCGUUGUUCGGAUUUACUGGGCGUAAAGCGCACGUAGGCGGAUCGUUAAGUCGGGGGUGAAAUCCUGGAGCUCAACUCCAGAACUGCCUUUGAUACUGGCGACCUUGAGUCCGGGAGAGGUGAGUGGAACUGCGAGUGUAGAGGUGAAAUUCGUAGAUAUUCGCAAGAACACCAGUGGCGAAGGCGGCUCACUGGCCCGGUACUGACGCUGAGGUGCGAAAGCGUGGGGAGCAAACAGG